CACGUAGGGGGCGAGCGUUGUCCGGAUUCAUUGGGCGUAAAGGGCGCGCAGGCGGCCCGGAAAGUCGGAUGUGAAACUCGAGGCUCAACCUCGAGCGUGCACCCGAUACUGCCGGGCUUGAGGCAGGUAGGGGAGAUCGGAAUUCCUGGUGUAGCGGUGAAAUGCGCAGAUAUCAGGAGGAACACCGGUGGCGAAGGCGGCUCACUGGCCCGAUACUGACGCUGAGGCACGAAAGCGUGGGGAGCAAACAGG
rnacentral:rRNA from 1 species